rnacentral:lncRNA from 1 species
UGCCGUUGCUGCUCGGGCCGCGCUGCCCUGGCAACUGCGCCAGGCGGCAGAGUCGCUUCCCCUGCGCCUGGCCGGAGAACCUUUCUCCCCCACCCAUGCUGCCCUCCCACACUCACACACACACGCUUUCCCGCCUCUCCCCGGUACAGGCGGAGGCGAAAACACCUCAGGCGGAGAGAGAACGACGCCGAAAGACCCCGGAAACCUGUACCCCGCGCCCAGCCUCCCCGCCUCGUGGAGGCCACACAUUUUUCAAUUUUACUCCCUCACAAAACCCUAUAAAAACCUAGGUAUGUACCCAGAAGAACUGAAAGCAAGAUCUUGAAGAGAUGUUGAUACACCUAUUCUCAAGGCUGUGUUAUUCGAUAUAGCUAAAACUUGGAAGCAACCCAAAUGUCCGUCAGUAGAUAAAUGGAUGAGCAAAAUGUGGCAUAUACAUACUUAAGAAUAUCAUUCAGCCUCAAAAAAGGAAAUUCUACAGGGUGUUGCAACAUGGAUGAACCUUGAGGACAUGUGAGGGAGCUUACAAGCCACAGAAGUUCCAGAAGGAUUUCUAAAGAAGAUCACUCCUAAACUGAAUCUGAUACAAUAAAUGACCUAGGAAACAAGCAAAAGAGGGAGAGAAUCUUAAGCAAGCUCCACACCCAGCAUGGAGCCCGACUUGGAAUUUGAUCGCUCAACACUGUGAUCGUGACCUGAGCUGAAAUCAGGAGUUAGGCACUUAACUGAGCCACCCACGUGCCCCACAAAGCCACAUUUUAAGAAGGAAAUAAGCAAGCAAGAGUUAAAUUCAAGUAAUUAUUGAGUGAAGACCUUGAACUUGUUGUCUGGGAGUGGGAUAGAAAUCAAGAGGGUUCAUUACCAUUAUGGUUAUAGCGAUUUAUAUAUUUUUGCCUCAUAAAAUGUUCACAUCCAUGACCUAAUUUUAGCUUGCAUCUCUGUGAAGUAGGCAGAGAAAGUAUUAUUUUUCUCUCCCACUUCCACAGAUGGGAAAACAGAUCAAGAGAGUCUCACAACUGACUCAGCAUUACAGAGCAAAGCUAAUGGCAGGAGUAGGACUAGGAUUUCAUUCUUCAAAACUCCCAGUUGAAUGUCCUUUCCUCCACCCAUGUUGCCUUUCUGCCCUUGAAAAACUCUGUAAGAGUGGGAAAAUUUACAGUGAUAACUAAAACAAGAAAACAUGACACCUGGAGAGUUGAAAAAAAGAGUUCUCCCAUUAGGGGAAAAAAAUCUAGAACAGAUGCCAAAAGACACAUCAAGGUGGUAGCAAAGUGCUGGACACCCUGCCCUUGAGGAUGCCUCAUGAAUAUUUGAUGAUAUUAAUACACUGGAUUUGCCUCCAAAGUUGCAUUGGGUUGGGGGGCAGGAGUAAGGUCAUUGAGGUCACAAGCAAUGAUUUUUGAGGCCUAAAAAAAUAGAAGUAGCCUUACAGCUACUUUAGCGUACAGUUUGAGGGCCUCUUUUAAGUCAAGUAGAUUGCGAAAGAGCCAGUGAGUGGUUGUUGCCCUGGUGGAUGCUUUGCUUGCAAGAAAUAGAAAUUCACUGGCAUUGGCUUAUCUACAAUAGGAAGGUGUCUUAUAGGUCCUAUGGGUAAAAAUCACAUCUGGCUUAAGGAAAAACUAGAACUGGGAACUUGCAGACCUUCAGAAACUCAGAAGAUGUGCGUUCUCUCCAUGAUCUCUCUUCCGGAGUGUUUUGCCCAUAUUUUUCUGAAGAGUUCCCUCUUCUGCUCUGUCCCCAUGUGAGAUCAAAAGCAGAUACCCACAGCUCCCAAGUUCAUAUUCCAGCCAUAUGAACCAACUCUCUCUCCCCAUUCCUCUUUCUCAAACACAAACUCCCAUGGAAGGAGCUCUUUCAGCUUAAAUUGGCUCAGGAAUCCAUCCCUGAUCCAGUCAACUAUGACCAGGGGUCAGGGUCCCAUUAGUCAUGAGCAGCUGUUGAAAGCCACCCUCUACAGAUGGCAAUAAGGCAUUUAUAGAUAGAAAUCAUUUAAGCUGAGCAUAUACCUCAAAAUAUAUCCACCACUCACACCCACUAGGAUGGCUAUGCUAAAAAAACAAAACAAAACAAAACAAAAAA